rnacentral:rRNA from 1 species
GACGAACGCUGGCGGCGUGCCUAACACAUGCAAGUCGAACGGGGCUUGUUAUCCAGAAUUUUUCGGAAGGACGGAGAACAAGGCUAGUGGCGGACGGGUGAGUAACGCGUGAGUAACCUGCCUUUCAGAGGGGGAUAACGUUCUGAAAAGGACGCUAAUACCGCAUAACAUAUAGAGGUCGCAUGGCAGCUAUAUCAAAGGAGCAAUCCGCUGAGAGAUGGACUCGCGUCUGAUUAGAUAGUUGGUGGGGUAACGGCCUACCAAGUCGACGAUCAGUAGCCGGACUGAGAGGUUGAACGGCCACAUUGGGACUGAGACACGGCCCAGACUCCUACGGGAGGCAGCAGUGGGGGAUAUUGCGCAAUGGGGGAAACCCUGACGCAGCAACGCCGCGUGAAGGAAGAAGGUUUUCGGAUUGUAAACUUCUUUUGUCAGGGACGAAUAGAUGACGG